GACAGUGCACUUUUCAAUCUUUUCGAGCUCAAAAUUCAAACAAGCAUUAGUCCACGUAAUGCCUCCGCGGAUCGUCGUUUGGGUUUUGCAUCGUCUAUGUUUCUCUUUUCAAUCUUCCAACGUCUUCUCAAACUUCACUCACAAUGCACAUUAUUUAAAAACUGUAAAUAUAACAAUAAAGACUUGGGUUGCCUCCUAAGAAGCAUCACUUUUAACAUUUUGUUACGACAUAUUGCUCAAACUCAAC
rnacentral:lncRNA from 1 species